AUUGAACGCUGGCGGCAGGCCUAACACAUGCAAGUCGAGCGGAUGCAGGGAGCUUGCUCCUGGAUUCAGGAGCGGACGGGUGAGUAAUGCCUAUGAAUAUGCCUGGUAGUUGGGUAUCACGUCCGAAAACGGGCGCUAAUACCUCAUACGUCCUGAGGGCGAACGUGGGGGAUCUUCGGACCUCACGCUAUCAGAUGAGCCUAGGUCCGAAUGGCUAGUUGGUGGGGUAAAGGGCUACCGAGGCGACGAUCCGUAACUGGUCUGAGAGGAUGAUCAGUCACACUGGAACUGAGACACGGUCCAGACUCCUACGGGAGGCAGCAGUGGGGAAUAUUGGACAAUGGGCGAAAGCCUGAUCCAGCCAUGCCGCGUGUGUGAAGAAGGUCUUCGGAUUGGAAAGCACUUUAAGUUGGGAGGAAGGGCAGUAAGUUAAUACCGUGCUGUUUUGACGUUACCAACAGAAUAAGCACCGGCUAACUUCGUG
rnacentral:rRNA from 1 species